CUUGUUUUUGUUUUUAUUUGUUUUUGUGCAUGGUUUUGACUUUUGGCAAAUUUGGCGAUUCGGAUUCACCGGACCAGUUGAGCAGUCGCGAGAAGGACCGGGGUUGCCGGAUGAUUGCGGACUCGCAUCGAAUCGUGACCUGUCCUGCAUCGUUAAAGCAAAACGAAGGCGGAUUCGGGCGACGGAAAUCCACGAUUCGAUAAGCCGGUGGAUUCGUUCAGCGUACAAGGCGAUGCCGAACACAGCCAGAGGCCGGCGAAGUCCAUGGGGAGCACCUGAAACCGUGAAGGAAGUUGUACGAGCCCUCCAGUUAAGCGUUAUCCCCAUGUACAUGCAGGUCACUGUGAUGGAAAACACCGUGCCCCAUCCGACGCAGACCUUCGACGAGGAUAACUUUCAUGAGUUUGUAGUUUGAGAGAUCAAUAAGCAGGGCUUUUCCUCGCCGACCACCUUCCAAGUCCAGGGAUGACCGAUUGAGCUGUCCGGCCGUGACAGCGGGGAACCGCUGGUUCGCGAUUUGGAGGGUGGAGAAGGUGAUUACUACGCCGGGAUGUUUGAUCGAUUUGCUGGAGCGAGGCAUCCUGAGACAACCUGUCCCGUUGCACGUUUCUGUUGCUCGACGAGGCGGAUCGGAACCGAGCAGAUCUCG